rnacentral:rRNA from 1 species
UUCGCAAUGCCCGAAAGGGUGACGAAGCGACGCCGCGUGCGGGAAGAAGGCCUUCGAGUUGUAAACCGCUGUCGGGAGUUAGGAAGUGCAAGGAUGUUAAUAGCAUUCUUGCUUGACUAAGGCUCCGGAGGAAGCCACGGCUAACUCUGUGCCAGCAGCCGCGGUAAUACAGAGGCGGCAAGCGUUGUUCGGAAUUAUUGGGCGUAAAGAGCACGUAGGCGGCUGUGUAAGUCGGUUGUGAAAGCCUUCCGCUUAACGGAAGAACGGCAUCCGAUACUGCAUGGCUUGAGUGCGGGAGGGGAGAGUGGAACUUCUGGUGGAGCGGUGAAAUGCGUAGAUAUCAGAAGGAACACCGGCGGCGAAGGCGACUCUCUGGUCCGUAACUGACGCUGAGUGUGCGAAAGCUAGGGGAGCAAACGGGAUUAGAUACCCCGGUAGUCCUAGCCGUAAACGAUGGGCACUAAGUAGAGGGGUUUU